rfam:Candidatus Altiarchaeales archaeon WOR_SM1_79 17677, whole genome shotgun sequence.
UUGCUGGUGAGAGUCCAGCCAUGAGAAUUGGUUAUUUACUCGUGUAGUUAUAUCGGACAUUCAUUUCAGGUGACUGAAUUGAAUGAAAGCUCCGAAGUAAAAGUGCCUGUGCGAGGUGCGAGCAACCUAUCAGGUCGUAGCAUAA